CUGUAUUAAGCAGAGUUUUCGGCUCAGAGUCAGCUAACAAAUCUGGGAUGGGAAGACUGUCAGGGUCUUCAGUGGCCGGGAUACAUAUGGCCGCUAUAUCUUCGGGCCUUUCUUGGUAUUCUUUUAACAAAUUGACAUGAAACGACUUCUGAACCCUUUCGUCUUGGCUACUGGCAAUUACAUAGGUGGUGUCACAUACCUGGGCUACUACCUUGUAAGGGCCUUGCCAGGAGGUCUGUAGCUUGUUUCCCUUGACAGGUCUAAGUACCAGAACUUUCUGACCUACUUGGAACGUUCUCAAUCGGGCGCCCCGAUCGUACCAGUGUUUCUGACGGCCCUGGGCUGCCUGGAAUUGUUCUCAGGCCAUUCUGGCUAGGUGCCCCAUGCGGUCCCGCAUCUCCAGCACAUAAGGUACGAUAGGAACGCCCUCAUGCUCUAUCUCUCCCUCCCAGUGCUCUCGGAUGAGGUCGAAGGGGCCUCGCACUCGCCGU